rnacentral:piRNA from 1 species
UAACCCUGAGAUUCUGAUUCCCCAGAUCU